AGGGCCCCUGCUAAGCUCCUGGGGCUCCUGCUGCUCUGCCUCCCAGGUGCCAGAUGUGACAUCACAAUGACCCAGUCUCCAUCCUACCUGUCUAAAUCUCCAGGAGAAAGAGUCACCAUCACAUGCAGGGCAAGUCAGGGCAUCAGCAGUUACUUAAACUGGUACCAGCAAAAACCAGGUCAAUCUCCUAAGCGUCUCAUCUAUGGUGCAUCCAAUCUGCAAUCUGGUGUUCCCUCAAGAUUCAGUGGGAGUGGAUCUGGGACAGAUUUCACUCUCACCAUCAGCAGCCUGGAGCCUGAAGAUUUUGCCACUUAUUACUGUUUACAGUAU